rnacentral:lncRNA from 1 species
UUAAGCCUUGCGUUAGGCUUGAGUGCUAAUGGUCGGGUUUUCUCCAGCCCUCGAGAUAGAGCUCGGAUCCAACUAAACUGUGAACAACCGAAGAAUGCUUAACAAUUGCUGAAAGCUAAAUUAAAUUUCAUUGUCUUGAUAUGUGUGCCAAAAACAAUCUCAAAAACAAAGGGAUGCUAAUCUUUUUCUUCCUUCUUUCCCACGAAAAUAUGAUCUGCAACCAAUAUCGAGCGUGAUCCAUGCCGCAAUAUUCGGCCAGCGGCAGAUAUUUCGGCUCCCCAUUUGUCUUCUUUAACUGUAUUUCUCUAACCCUUGAUUCUUCAUCUCACUCGUGCUUGAUUCUCUCUGGGUUCGGCCAUGCUCGAGACUGUUAUAUUGUUUGUCCGCUCUUAAUUCCGAUCUGUGGGCACCUUCGAUUUUACCUGAGCCCAUGACAAAUAACGUCGUACCUCCCCUAUAACGGAAAAUUAC